UACGUAGGGUCCGAGCGUUGUUCGGAAUUACUGGGCGUAAAGGGCUCGUAGGCGGCCAACUAAGUCGGAUGUGAAAUCCCCAGGCUUAACCUGGGAACUGCAUCCGAUACUGGAUGGCUUGAAUCCGGGAGAGGGAUGCAGAAUUCCAGGUGUAGCGGUGAAAUGCGUAGAUAUCUGGAGGAAUACCGGUGGCGAAGGCGGCAUCCUGGACCGGCAUUGACGCUGAGGAGCGAAAGCUAGGGGAGCAAACGGG
rnacentral:rRNA from 1 species